rnacentral:misc_RNA from 1 species
GAUGAGAACGUAGCGAAAUGCGAUAAGUAAUGUGAAUUGCAGAAUUCAGUGAAUCAUCGAAUCUUUGAACGCACAUUGCGCCCGCCAGUAUUCUGGCGGGCAUGCCUGUUCGAGCGUCAUUUCAACCAUCAAGCCCCCGGCUUGUGUUGGGGACCUGCGGCUGCCGCAGGCCCUGAAAACCAGUGGCGGGCUCGCUAGUCACUCCGAGCGUAGUAAUACAUCUCGCUCAGGGCGUGCUGUGGGUUCCGGCCGUUAAAAAGCCUUAUUUACCCAAGGUUGACCUCGGAUCAGGUAGGAAGACCCGCUGAACUUAAGCAUAUCAAUAAGCGGAGGA